GACGAACGCUGGCGGCGUGCUUAACACAUGCAAGUCGAACGGAAAGACCCUGCUUUUGUUGGGUGCUCGAGUGGCGAACGGGUGAGUAACACGUGAGUAACCUGCCCUUGACUUUGGGAUAACUUCAGGAAACUGGGGCUAAUACCGGAUAGGAGCUCCUGCUGCAAGGUGGGGGUUGGAACGUUUCGGCGGUUGGGGAUGGACUCGCGGCUUAUCAGCUUGUUGGUGGGGUAGUGGCUUACCAAGGCUUUGACGGGUAGCCGGCCUGAGAGGGUGACCGGCCACAUUGGGACUGAGAUACGGCCCAGACUCCUACGGGAGGCAGCAGUGGGGAAUAUUGCACAAUGGGCGGAAGCCUGAUGCAGCAACGCCGCGUGCGGGAUGACGGCCUUCGGGUUGUAAACCGCUUUCGCCUGUGACGAAGCGUGAGUGACGGUAAUGGGUAAAGAAGCACCGGCUAACUACGUG
rnacentral:rRNA from 1 species